ACGGAAAUCCUCUUUAAGAGCAACAGCAUUACGAAACCAUCGUUCUGCGCUUCCGCUAUCAUGGUCAUCCAUAGCCAGCAUUCCAAGAUUAAAAUGAACUCGCUCAUUGUUAGAAUCCUGAAACGAAAUUUACUUUUUAUCGGAUAAAAUGCUCCAUCCAUAUCCAAUGAGCAUACAAAAUCCCAUAGACGGAGCAUACAAUACUCUUUCCGCAAUGACGAAUCCAACUGGGAAGAAGAGAUUUGAGGCAGGUGUUAAAAUUGCUGUUACCAACAAUCCUAAUAUGGUCGUAUGAGUUGCUAUAGUGGCCAGAUUACGUGGAUCUGUAAAAUUUUCUAUUAACGGUAUCGUUCCCAUAGUCCAAUCACAGCAUAAAUCGCUUGGAAGAAAUAGCAGCCUUAGAUUAACUGCUGCGAGGUAAUUAUAGAUACCUGGUAAAUACAGGUAACUUUGAGCCCAUUACAUGUAGCCGAAGGAUAAGUAAACUAAACGUGACAAGCGUAAGGACUGUCAGUCGUUUUGUACCUUCACUGGACCAAGCAAGCGAUAUUUUCUUCCCACUAAAAGCUGCCUUUAACGUCAGGAAAAUAUCCAUUGCUCUUACCUAAGUAGAAUACACAAACUGCAGUGGCUGUUAUUCCUUGUUCUUUGCACAACAUGGCAGUGAAAACAAAAGACAUAGAUAAUAUCAAAGAUUUCCAUCCUAAAAAAAAUAUAAAAACAUUAAUAUCUACUUGAAUGAAUACAUUUAGUGUACAUGAUUAGAGCCGCUAAAUAAAAUAAAGAGGACAAUGUUUCUGCUCUUCCGACCACUCCUGUAACCUUAAUACACGAUUAUCCACUGACAAUGCAUCUAAACAUGAACUAGGAACUACGACGCGAUCGAUCGCUCGACGUCGACCCUUUGAAUCUGGACACAUGAUAGAUUGUCGCCGAAGGGAAGAACAAGGACUAGAAAUAAUUAUCAAAUAAUAUUCUCAUAUAAUUUCAAGGAUGAACCGCAAACAGAAGAGAAGAUACAAAAGUUGCAGAAUCAGAUAGAAACAUCAAGCAUGUCCUGCAAUGGUGAUUAAGGCACACUUUAUACUGAUUUGUAACUACUUAAUAAAGUGAAUGAAAACAAUUUCAAUGAUAUAUAAAUAAAUUACUAAUGUUGUGUCACAUUCCUUCAUUAUCUAAUUUUUAAUUUGCCUACUAUUUGUGGGACUA